rnacentral:rRNA from 1 species
UACAGAGGGGGGCUAGCGUUGUUCGGAAUUACUGGGCGUAAAGGGCGCGUAGGUGGCCUGUUAAGUCGAACGUGAAAUCCCCGGGCUCAACCCGGGAACUGCGUCCGAGACUGGCAGGCUCGAAUCCGGGAGAGGGAUGUGGAAUUCCAGGUGUAGCGGUGAAAUGCGUAGAUAUCUGGAGGAACACCGAUGGCGAAGGCAGCUCACUGGGACGGUACUGACGCUGAGGUGCGAAAGCGUGGGGAGCGAACAGG